rnacentral:rRNA from 1 species
CACGUAGGGGGCAAGCGUUGUCCGGAUUUAUUGGGCGUAAAGAGCUUGUAGGCGGUUUGUCGCGUCUGCUGUGAAAAUCCGGGGCUCAACCCCGGACUUGCAGUGGGUACGGGCAGGCUAGAGUGUGGUAGGGGAGACUGGAAUUCCUGGUGUAGCGGUGAAAUGCGCAGAUAUCAGGAGGAACACCGGUGGCGAAGGCGGAUCUCUGGGCCUUACCUGACGCUGAGGCGCGAAAGCUAGGGGAGCGAACAGG